CUACGGGGGGCUGCAGUGGGGAAUAUUGGACAAUGGGCGAAAGCCUGAUCCAGCCAUGCCGCGUGUGUGAAGAAGGCCUUCGGGUUGUAAAGCACUUUCAGUGGGGAAGAAAGCCUUGGGGCUAAUACCCUCGAGGAAGGACAUCACCCACAGAAGAAGCACCGGCUAACUCCGUGCCAGCAGCCGCGGUAAUACGGAGGGUGCGAGCGUUAAUCGGAAUUACUGGGCGUAAGGCGCGCGUAGGCGGUCUGAUAAGCCGGUUGUGAAAGCCCCGGGCUCAACCUGGGAACGGCAUCCGGAACUGUCAGGCUAGAGUGCAGGAGAGGAAGGUAGAAUUCCCGGUGUAGCGGUGAAAUGCGUAGAGAUCGGGAGGAAUACCAGUGGCGAAGGCGGCCUUCUGGACUGACACUGACGCUGAGGUGCGAAAGCGUGGGUAGCAAACAGGAUUAGAUACCCGAGUAGUC
rnacentral:rRNA from 1 species